ensembl:lncRNA
GAACCAUCUUGCUUUUACCAUUGGUGAGGACUAUUUCAAUUUCCAUUCACCUUGGGCAUCUGGGCAAGUGAUUAUCUGCAAAGUCAGGUUCAUAAGAGGUCAGUCAGCCAGGUUAUGUGACCAAAGAUUACAAUCCCAACCUCAGUCGAAAGCUCUGGAAACGUGGGCUUGCAGGAGAGAGCAAGGAGGCAAGGUCAUCACCACUGGAGAAACAAACCAUGCAAGACACAGACUCUGCUAAUGAAAACGAUGCUCGCCUACAAAGAGCUUCAUGAUUUUUAAUUGAGGUAUCACUAGAAGAACUGUCU